CCAUCGCGCUCGGGGCCACGUCGUACCAAAACAGCUACCAGAUCUCCAAGGCGGCCUACCCCGUGCACUAUGCCGCCCCCGCCGUGGUGAAGGCCCCCGUCCUGGCCGCGGCCCCCAUCGCCUACGCCGCCGCCCCGGCCUACGGGCUCAGACACGAGCUGGGCUACAGCGGCCUCGGCUACGGCCACGGCUACGGUCUCGGCCACGGCCUCGGCUACGCGUCCCACUACGGCCACUACUAGCUGCCUCCGCCGUGAGGGCCUCGGCCGCCUCGGCGUCGAGCGGCGUCGUGCUGCACCACGCCCAUGCUGCGUGCUGCAGCCUGCUGCAGGCGGACGCCCUUGGCCUUGCGCGCCGUUCCAGGUUCCACGGUCCGCGGAGCUUCGACUCUUCACGACGAACUCGACGCGCCAUCGUGCACCUGCCAAAACCCCAAAGCCCACUUGCCAAAGCCCCGCCUAGUUCCUUGCACUGUGUGCCACUGUGUGCCUGCCGAGCAAACGACUGGAAUAAAGAAGACGCAUGAUGA